rnacentral:rRNA from 1 species
GAUGAACGCUGGCGGUGUGCCUAAUACAUGCAAGUCGAGCGAAAACAUGAGGAGAUCGUUCUCCUGCGGUUGGCGGGUGACGGGCGGGUAAGACGUGGAUAACAUUCUUCUUUGACUGGGGUAACUUCGGGAAAAAGCAGCCACUAAUGCAUCAUACAUUCUACGGCUUGGUUCAGUAGUGCUACAGGGUUUUGCUGUUUCAUUUAGAUGGUUUCGCGUUGCCUUAGUUAGUGGGUAAGGUAACGCCUAACCAAGGCAACGAUGCGUAGCCGAGCUGAGAGGGUGAUCAGCCACACUGGAACUGAGACACGGUCCAGACUCCUACGGGAGGCAGCAGUAGGGAAUCUUCCACAAUGGGCGAAAGCUUGACGGAGCAACGCCGCGUGAGUGAUGAAGGUCUUCGGAUCGUAAAACUCUUUUAUUAGGGAAGAACAAAUGCAUAAGAAACUAUGCACGUCUUGACGGUACCUAAUCAGAAAGCCACGGCUAACUACGUG